AACAAAUCAAGAAUUUCUGGUCAUAGCAAGGGGUUAAUCAUCUUUUGCAAGUAAGCUCACGAUUGCCGAUAGUUGGUGAAGUUUUUCUUUACAAGUCGGUGUAGAAAUUCAAGUCCAAGAUCUGAGAUUCACAGUUCAAGAUUCAAGGCUCAAGAUUCUCAAGACUCAAGAAUCAAGAUUUCUGAAGUCAAGAGCUGAAGUUGUAUCCUCCUCCCCCUGUUGGAUUAUUCCCUAGGUUUGUCCUACUUCGACAACCUAGGAAUAUUUCCUUCAAGGGCACUGAUUAUUAAUAUUUUUGGUAUAUUAUUUUUUGG